UACAGAGGUGGCAAGCGUUGUUCGGAAUUACUGGGCGUAAAGGGCGCGUAGGCGGUUCGUUAAGUCCUGUGUGAAAUCCCCCCGGCUCAACUGGGGAACUGCACAGGAAACUAGCGGGCUUGAGUUCGGGAGAGGGAAGCGGAAUUCCGGGUGUAGCGGUGAAAUGCGUAGAUAUCCGGAGGAACACCGGUGGCGAAGGCGGCUCCUGGACCGACACUGACGCUGAGGCGCGAAAGCGGAGGGAG
rnacentral:rRNA from 1 species